rnacentral:rRNA from 1 species
CAUGCAGUAGAACGCUGAAGGAGGAGCUUGCUUCUCUGGAUGAGUUGCGAACGGGUGAGUAACGCGUAGGUAACCUGCCUGGUAGCGGGGGAUAACUAUUGGAAACGAUAGCUAAUACCGCAUAAGAGUAGAUGUUGCAUGACAUUUGCUUAAAAGGUGCAAUUGCAUCACUACCAGAUGGACCUGCGUUGUAUUAGCUAGUUGGUGAGGUAACGGCUCACCAAGGCGACGAUACAUAGCCGACCUGAGAGGGUGAUCGGCCACACUGGGACUGAGACACGGCCCAAACUCCUACGGGAGGCAGCAGUAGGGAAUCUUCGGCAAUGGACGGAAGUCUGACCGAGCAACGCCGCGUGAGUGAAGAAGGUUUUCGGAUCGUAAAGCUCUGUUGUAAGAGAAGAACGAGUGUGAGAGUGGAAAGUUCACACUGUGACGGUAUCUUACCAGAAAGGGACGGCUAACUACGUGCCAGCAGCCGCGGUAAUACGUAGGUCCCGAGCGUUGUCCGGAUUUAUUGGGCGUAAAGCGAGCGCAGGCGGUUAGAUAAGUCUGAAGUUAAAGGCUGUGGCUUAACCAUAGUACGCUUUGGAAACUGUUUAACUUGAGUGCAAGAGGGGAGAGUGGAAUUCCAUGUGUAGCGGUGAAAUGCGUAGAUAUAUGGAGGAACACCGGUGGCGAAAGCGGCUCUCUGGCUUGUAACUGACGCUGAGGCUCGAAAGCGUGGGGAGCAAACAGGAUUAGAUACCCUGGUAGUCCACGCCGUAAACGAUGAGUGCUAGGUGUUAGACCCUUUCCGGGGUUUAGUGCCGCAGCUAACGCAUUAAGCACUCCGCCUGGGGAGUACGACCGCAAGGUUGAAACUCA